AGUGAACGCUGGCGGUAGGCCUAACACAUGCAAGUCGAACGGCAGCACAGUAAGAGCUUGCUCUUACGGGUGGCGAGUGGCGGACGGGUGAGGAAUACAUCGGAAUCUACUUUUUCGUGGGGGAUAACGUAGGGAAACUUACGCUAAUACCGCAUACGACCUACGGGUGAAAGCAGGGGAUCUUCGGACCUUGCGCGAUUGAAUGAGCCGAUGUCGGAUUAGCUAGUUGGCGGGGUAAAGGCCCACCAAGGCGACGACCCGUAGCUGGUCUGAGAGGAUGAUCAGCCACACUGGAACUGAGACACGGUCCAGACUCCUGCGGGAGGCAGCAGUGGGGAAUAUUGGACAAUGGGCGCAAGCCUGAUCCAGCCAUACCGCGUGGGUGAAGAAGGCCUUCGGGUUGUAAAGCCCUUUUGUUGGGAAAGAAAAGCAGCAGGUUAAUACCCCGCUGUUCUGACGGUACCCAAAGAAUAAGCACCGGCUAACUUCGUG
rnacentral:rRNA from 1 species